CCAAAUUUGAUCUGUAGAUCUCACGUCGCAGCCACACCCCCACCUUAAAUCCAAACCCGUAGCCGCAACCACCAUUACCGUCGCAGCCACCACACCAGCUAGCGUCGCAAACUGAUCUGCUCGCACUAGGCCAAGCAUCGCCGCACCAUCCAUCGUCUUAGCCUCUGCAAUCGCGCGCCACCACUCCAGUUAACGUCUUUGCCUCAGCCAGCGUCGUCGCAGCCAGCGUCAUCGUGUUAGAUCCGGCUAUCUGCAGAUCCCAGUAAAUAACAUACGCAAUUUUGGAUACAAUGUACCCUUCAUUUCUCUUGGAGAUGGAGACGCAAUCUUGGAUACAAUACGGCAGUGAAGAUGAGAAAUCCAUUUUCACCUGCUAGUAUUCGAGAUGUGGCUGAGUCCCACCUGCCGUCAAUAACAAACGGCACCCUCAUAACAAACAAGAUUUCAAGUUAGAGUGCCAGACAUCUCCUGCUUUAAGCUUAGCAUUUUGUGAGCUCACCAGCCGACCAAUGGGGGCUCGAAAGACAAGAUACCUAAGUGCAGACGAACGCUUCGUAGCUCAUCAAUAUGUCUUACUAAAUUGUGAGGAGGUUCAACCUAUUUUAAGGAUGUACGAGAGAGGUUUACGUCAUUACAAUCCUAGUGUAACUAAUGAGCAAGUUGAUUGUGGAGUUGAAAGAAAUUUUGCAAAAUGGUUUAAAGAUUACGUGUACAAUCCAUUGAAUAAUGUGCAUACCCAAUGUCUGAUUGAUUUGGCAAAUGGCCCUUUAAUGGAAGUUAGCAUGUACAGUAGGUAUGUCGUUAACGGUUUCAAGUUUCAAACCGAAGCACAAUGUCUUAGAAAGUCAACUUCAAACUAUGGGGUAUCAAUUAAGGAAACAAGUUUGGCACAACUUGGAUCAUACUUUUUUUGGCACAUUACAAGAGGUUAUUGAGGUUGAGUACCCUAAUAUUCCGAUUAAAAAGGUUGUCUUAUUUAAGUGUGAGUGGUUUGACCCAACACCCACUACUGGGGUGCGAUUCAAUUCUGGAUAUGGUAUCAUUGAAGUGCAAUGCAAUAGACGGUAUAACAAGUUUGAUCCUUUUAUCAUUGCACAAAGUGUAUCUCAGGUGUGUUACAUUCCAUACCCAUAAGGUAUAAGGGAGAAAGUAAAUUGGUUGGUGGUAUUGAAUGUGCGUCCUAGAGGAACUAUUGACAAAGCUUAUAGUAAUAGUCAAAUUUAUCAGCAAGAUGACAUGCCUUUGCAAAGAUAUUGUGAAGUUUCAUCUCACGAAGAAGUGACAAACUUAGUGCAUGAACCGUUACAGAUUGAUGAAGUGUAAUUACCCCCAGUUAGACAAGAAGAUAGUGAAGGGUCUGAAGAAGAAUAUAAUGAAGGGUCUAAAGAAGAUAAUGAAUAUUUUGACGAAGAUAAUGAAUAUUUUGAGGAUGAGGAGGGGGGACAUUUUGAGGAUGAAUAAAUAAAUUAGUGUUAGUGUGUAAAAAAAUAAAUAAAGAAUAAAUUUUCAUAUAAAAGGUUGUGCGUCCUAGAUGACAUUGGACUCCAAUUUCUCUUGACGACAUUUCUCUUGUUGACAUUGGACCCCAACCUAUCGCACCUCAAGCUAAUGCUAAAACUACGGAGUUAGUGAUCUCCAUCCUCAACCGAUUUGUACACUAAUAGACUGAUCUCCAUCCUCAACCGAGUCAUCGCCAUCUUCAAGCUAAAGCUAUGGAGUCACGCAUCGACAUCCUCAACCAAAAGGUUUGCUGAAAACAACGACUAUAGAUCUACCCAGCUCAAGCUCCAAGUGAUAUUAGGAAGAGCAAUAGUUCGUUGAAAUGCCUCAAAAGAGCAGUAGUUCGUUGAAGUGCUCCAAGUGAAAUCAACGAUAGUGUAGAGAAAAUUUGAGUGUGUUUGGUACUGACUGCAAGACCACAGUAUAACCAGAUCCUUGUAAAGAAACCUGGUGGACCUAAUUGGUGGCCAUACUAGAACCAAAAGAUUUUUGGAGAGACAAUGGCAAAACAUGGAAAAACUUCAGUUGAUGCUAAGGCUCCUACUACAUCAAAACAUAUGAGAAGAAGAAAGAAGAUAUCUAAGGGAAGAAAAUCUGAAGCUCGAGGUAAAGGAAUUGCUCUUCCAGAAUCUGUAGAUCUGAUAUUGCAACCUCCAUUAGUGGCUAAUUUAGAAGAAGCUCAUAUGCAAAUAAGAAUGGUACCUACGCCACCGAACAUUGUGUGACGAGAGUUACAUGAUACUGAUUCAAAGCGUACAAUAUCAACUGGAGGCAUAAGUAAUAGUCAUAUGGCAGGACCAUCAACGAGCAGUUCUGGACAAAGCAGCCACAAUAAGACCUUUAUUCAUCCUAUUGGCAAUACAGCAUUCGAACCUUGUAGUGUGCACACAAAUAUUAUGCAUUGCAUUAAGAGGAUAUUCCCCGAGGCAGUUAAAACUUUUAAAACUGCUCCUCAACAUCUUAAGGAUGUUUGGUUUAAUGAAUUCAAGAAACGGCAUGAAUGGGAUCCUAAUGACGAGGAUACUGUUUGAAUGAUAUUUGAGAAAAAGGCUGCUAGAUUGCUUACUGAUGCGUUAUGUGAGGUGCGCACAAAUUUGGCAUCAGGAGAUGGAGUACCAGGAUGGAUAUCUGAUCCUGUAUUGGCCCAAUACCAGCUCAUACGGAACAACAACAAAUUCAAGAAGAUAAGUGAGAAGAAUAAGCGCAAUAGGAAUUCAGAUUGUGGAGGAAUAGGUCCAUCAUUGCACAGUGCAGGUUCUAUCCUAUCACUGAACAUAGAAGAAGAUUGAAAGAAAAGCUUGGAAGGGAACCUACUCAUACAGAAGUAUUCAAUGCCACGCGCAAACUUAAACGGGGAGGAAGAUAUGUAUGCCAAAAAGCACAGCAAGAAACUGUGACCAACUUGAAGCAAACACAACCUCAAGUGGCAGAAUCAGCAAUGUGGUUGGAGGCCACUGGUGGUGUGAGGAAACGGAGGUACGUUUUAGGAUUUGGGUCGGAUACCGCACACUACUUCCCCGACGCUAUGAUACACAGGAAAUCCAAUAUUGAAUCAUCAACUUCAAUUCACAUUCAUCUUGUGAAGAUCGAAUUAAGCAAUUAGAGGAGCAAAAUCAAGUGAUGCAACAGCAGCAACAAGAUAUGCAUGAGGAAAAUCGGAGGAUCCGUGAUAUCGUCCAGAAACUAGAAGAAACACUUGCCCACUUUAGUGCAAAUCUUGAUAGUCUUGAUCAAGAUCCAAACAAAAAUAGCUCCAAUGACGAUAGACUACCCCCCUCCACCUCCGAUGAUGAUACACUAGCCCCCUCUAGUCAAGAUUAGAUAGCAUAUUAUUUGAAUGAUUUGAAAAUCUGUUUUGGAUGGUGAACAUAGCUGCAAACAAUAGCUAUAUUUUUGAUAGUGAAGCAACUACUACACUUUGGAUUUAAAUGAUUGACUAAUGUUUGAUUCUCUUCAAUUGUUAAUACUGUGGUGUUGAA